CUCCCUGAGACUUAAAGUCUCCUGAAGGAACGUUGAAGACGACGACGUUGAUAGGCCGGGUGUGUAAGCGCAGCGAUGCGUUGAGCUAACCGGUACUAAUGAACCGUGAGGCUUAACCCUACAACGCCGAAG
rnacentral:rRNA from 1 species